rnacentral:rRNA from 1 species
GACAGAGGGUGCAAACGUUGCUCGGAAUUACUGGGCGUAAAGCGCGUGUAGGUGGCCUACCCAGUCGGGUGUGAAAGCCCAGGGCUUAACCCUGGAAGUGCACUCGAAACUAGCAGGCUAGAGUACUGAAGAGGAGAGCGGAAUUCCCGGUGUAGAGGUGAAAUUCGUAGAUAUCGGGAGGAACACCAGUGGCGAAGGCGGCUCUCUGGCCAGAUACUGACACUGAGACGCGAAAGCGUGGGUAGCAAACAGG